CCUACGGGUGGCAGCAGUGAGGAAUAUUGGUCAAUGGGCUUACGCCUGAACCAGCCAAGUCGCGUGAGGGAAGACUGCCCUAUGGGUUGUAAACCUCUUUUGUCAGGGAGCAACGCCGGCUACGUGUAGCCGGACUGAGAGUACCUGAAGAAAAAGCAUCGGCUAACUCCGUGCAAGCAGCCGCGGUAAUACGGAGGAUGCGAGCGUUAUCCGGAUUUACUGGGUGUAAAGGGAGCGUAGACGGGAGCGCAAGUAUGGCGUGAAAUGCCGGGGCCCAACCCCGGGACUGCUCUGGAAACUGGGAAGCUGGAGUGCAGGAGAGGUAAGCGGAAUUCCUGGUGUAGCGGUGAAAUGCGUAGAGAUCAUACAGAACACCGAUUGCGAAGGCAGCUUACCAAGCUACUUCUGACGUUGAGGCACGAAAGCGUGGGGAGCAAACAGGAUUAGAUACCCCUGUAGUC
rnacentral:rRNA from 1 species